rnacentral:rRNA from 1 species
CAAAUUUCUGCCCUAUCAAACUUUCGAUGGUAGGAUAGUGGCCUACCAUGGUUUCAACGGGUAACGGGGAAUUAGGGUUCUAUUCCGGAGAGGGAGCCUGAGAAACGGCUACCACAUCCAAGGAAGGCAGCAGGCGCGCAAAUUACCCAAUCCCGACACGGGGAGGUAGUGACAAUAAAUACUGAUACAGGGCUCUUUUGGGUCUUGUAAUUGGAAUGAGUACAAUUUAAAUCCCUUAACGAGGAACAAUUGGAGGGCAAGUCUGGUGCCAGCAGCCGCGGUAAUUCCAGCUCCAAUAGCGUAUAUUAAAGUUGUUGCAGUUAAAAAGCUCGUAGUUGAACCUUGGGCCUGGCUGGCCAGGUCCGCCUCACCGCGUGCACUGGUCCGGCCGGGUCUUUCCUUUCUGGGGAGCCGCAUGCCCUUCACUGGGUGUGUCGGGAACCAGGACUUUUACUUUGAAAAUUUAGAAGUGUUCCAAAGGCAGGGCCUAUUGGCUUCGAAUUACC